rnacentral:rRNA from 1 species
AUACGGAAGGUCCGGGCGUUAUCCGGAUUUAUUGGGUUUAAAGGGAGCGCAGGCGGAGAUGCAAGCGUGACGUCAAAUUUCGGGGCUCAACCCCGUCUCGCGUCGCGAACUGCGUCCCUUGGUUGCGGGAAGGGGAGGCGGAACUCGUGGUGUAGCGGUGAAAUGCAUAGAUUUCACGAAGAACUCCGAUCGCGAAGGCAGCCUUCCGGCCCGUCAACGACGCUCAUGCUCGAAGGUGCGGGUAUCAAACAGGAUUAGAUACCCUGGUAGUCCGCACAGUAAACGAGGGACACCCGCGGUUUGGCCUGUAUGGCUGAGCCGCCAAGCGAAAGCGUUAAGUGUCCCACCUGGGGAGUACGCCGGCAACGGUGAAACUUAAAGGAAUUGACGGGG